ensembl:lncRNA
UGGAUGUCCUGAAAAAUCUGUCAAUAAACAAUAAUAAAUUUCCCCCCCAAAUUAGUCAUUUAUAUAGUUUAUCCUUAAAAGAGGAAGAAUAAAGCUUUCUGUGGUAUGAAUGAUGCAUGUGUGAAACCAAGGUUCCUAGCUCGAUCCCUGUAUAUGUCGUUCAGUUCACUGAAAGUUUGUCCUGUAAUUUCUGUCAGCUUUCCUAGUUGCUUCUGGUCACUAGUCAUACCCUGGAAAAAUUAUGGAUUAACUUAAUGGAAUUCUGCACUAUUACUUGAAAAAGAGUACAAAAUUCUGAUAAUAAAUCAUAGGUGUAGGGGAAAGAAUGUUGUCUCUGAAGUCAUUUUUCUAUAGCAGUAUCCAGCUGUUUUCAGUAUAAGCGUAGAAAAAUCACUUCACUUUCUCUUUCCCAAAAAACAGGUAUAAUGUAUAUAUAGCUCAUAAGACUCAUAAUAGAUGCUCAGUAAAUGUCAGUACUUUUCCUCUUUUUUCUUCACAAAAUACCAUACAUUAUAUUACUUAGUUUACCUUUUUCAACUAACUUGACUAUUUCUCCAUGCAGUCUGGAGGCCUUGAUUUGCCUGUCACUGAUCUUACAAAUAUUGGAUGUCAUUACAUUUUCCUUUUAUUUGUACAUUAAUGUUCCAGUCACCUUUUCCCUCUAAAUGCCCUCAAAAUAACUCAGCUGAGAAGUCUUUUCUUCCAUGCUACUGCUAAGUCACUUUAUCGGACACGACUGACGUGACUUAGCAGACUUAGCAGCAUUGUAAUGUUGCUUUACUGUUUAAUAGGAAAAUACAUUUUGUUUUCUUAAUGAAGUGUUUCUUUCUUCUACCCUAAAGAUACCCAUCCUAGAAAUAAAAUUGAAGAUCUUACCAGUUCUUGGAGUAGUAGGUGGAGCAAUAUUUUCCUGUUCAAAUUAUUUCCAUGUUAUCCUCCAUGGUGGUGUUGGCAAGAAUGGAUCCACUAUAGCAGUAAGACAUAAAUUUCAUCAUCAUUCAGUAUUAAUUUUAUGAUAAAUUUUCUUAACACCCAGCUAUAGAGAUAAUAAAAAUAUGAUGAAUUUUAAAAAUAGGGAAGGAAACUAAAUAUCUUAAAAGAAUCCUUUUUAGGCACAUAAUACAAAAAGGCAUUUUUGAAACAGUUUAGACUGAUUUUACAGCAUUUUUCCUCUUUCUAUACAGCCUUUCUUAGAGUAGGCUUUGGUGGCAUUCCAUGUAAUCAUCUGCUGUUUAUUGUACAUAAUUAAGAGCUGCCAUUUGUUUUCUUCCUUAUUGUGCCUGGCCCUGAUAUAGGAGAGGAGGAGGAAGGAAUGAGUUCCUGACUGGAUGUCAGGAAAGCAGUCCAAAGUCAUGGUUUCACAUAUGGGACAAUUUAUUAUGCAUGAAGUAAAUUUAAUUGAAAUUCCAUCACUGAAAUACAUUUUUAAAACUACCCUAAUAUUUUAAAAGGUAAAAACUUCAGCCUCAGUUCUUGAGUGGGUACACCUUGUAUUUGUUGCUCUCUAUAAUUCUUCUGUAUUUAUUUGUUUUAAAAAACUCAGUACUUUUGCAGAGAAAAGAGGCAGAAAGAAUUCUGCUCAGUUUUUAAACAAAUAUAAUAUCUAUGUUUUUUUUUAAAUGUCAUCUUCAAGGUAGCUGAACGUUAUGAACUUAUUCCAGUGAUGCCAUCUUCUAUCAAAACAUUGCAUGCCUUUAAGCUAUAGUUCAUUCUCUUUAAUUUGCUGUAGUUCAGAAUUUCUGUCCUGUAAGGAUGGGUUUGAUUUUGAGAAAAAUUAAAGUCACUUGAAGCCACACCUAAUAAAUAAGAGGAGUAAAAACCUGAAAUACAGCAUUUUUACUUGAAAAAAAACAACACCGCAUUCCUUUAAAUGACAUAUACUGGCUCUUAAGACAAUUUGAAAGGAAUCCACAUAAUUCAUAUAUUAUCAAUCUUUAUGAAUAUAUUUUAUAUACAUAAUUCAAAGGCAAAGUAUAGAACCCAGAUAUAUAAGUUCUGAUAUAUUUGGAAAAAUUAAUUGUUGUUUUUUGAGGUGUUUUGUCAGUUGACUUCAAAAUUGUUUUAGAAAUGUUAGAAUACUCUACACAAUGGGUUUAAGAGUACCUGUUGCUUGUCCGUGGAUGAUAAAAUAUAGCACUAGCUGGAAAGUGAGUUCUACUAAAAAUGAUAAAACUUAGCGAGGAUCAGUGUCCAUUUUAGAGAAUAUUUUACUAAGAAAUAAUUGAUUAAAUGUUUGAAGGAACACAAGAAAUCAAACACUAUUUCUAAGAAGUGGUUGAUUUCAAAUUCUUGAACCAGUGGUUUUUCAAUGUUUUUUUAGCAGCAGAUUUCCCUGAAUAAAAUUAACAGAUAAAAGCAUCAUUUUAAG